rnacentral:lncRNA from 1 species
UUUUUUUUUUUUUUUUUUUUUUUUUUUUUGGGGUCCCAAGAACAUUCUUUGGUGAUAGAAGAAGAACGUAAAGAAGUUAGGUUGGUAUAUAUGAUAGUUAAGAAUCAAAAUCCAAAUAAAAAUAUGUUUCUUGGUUUCAUCAUAAUGAAACUCAUGAUGCUGUCUGUUCGUCUCUAUUACGACUCUAAAUUCUACUUUGGUUCGGAACAAAUAUAAUAUUAAUAUGUAGGAGAGUUCUUGGUCAGCACCGGUUUUGUUGAAGGUAUGUUCUAUCAAUGAGCUGCGGUCAUAAUCAUUAUUUUCGAAUUAAGAAACUACUAUCAUCGUUGUAUCAUAAGCUCUCAAAGAUUACAAUAAUUAAAUGAGAUGGAUAAUCUUCUAUCCAUACAAAUGAAUCUCAAUACUAUAAAGUAAAUUUCGUUAAAGAAUUUACUACUUGAUUGCAAAUCAUUGAGACAUGAUAAAUUUGAAAACCUUAAUUUGAAGUUAGCAAGUGUUGAAUGUCAACUAUAAAAUAAAAUAAUUAGGUACAAGUAAAAGUUUGACCCGUAACUAAUUUAACAACGUUUAAUGAAUUCGACUCUACUACUAAUGAAAAUAAACUAAUCUCACUAAUAGUAUUUGAGAAUUAUAUUUAAAAAGAAAAAAAAAAGUGAAAUCAUUAAAGAAACAUUCAUAGAUUUAUUAGAAGAUAAAUUAUUUGUCGUGAUUUUGUCAUCUUUUUGUUUCUUUAUCAUUUUUCUUCUAAAAACCAAAUUGCGAUUGCCCAUUCAUCAUAAAUAAAUGAAAUGGCAAAUAAAGGGGCGGGCCGAUCCACAUCACUGAGCGGACCACAAAUUUCAUGAGAAAUUGAAUCCAUUGGGCCGGGCCUUGGCCUGAUGUGAAGACCGUGUGGGCAGACAUGAUUUCUCUCGGAUGGGGUAGUUGGUAAAUGUGAAGUAUAGACUGAUACAAUCUACAUAUAAUUGAAUUAGGGCACAUCCUGUAUCGUUGAAUUGCCCUUUUAUCUUUGGCUAAAAAGUGCCAAGUUUUCCUCUGCACUAUUUGUUGGUGAAAUGAAUUGAUUUACGAAAUACAUCUUAACUUUAACAUUUGGCACAAGUUGCUUCGCGUCUCAGCAUUCGAUUGCUUUGAUUUAAACCAAGGGUUAGCGAGGCCGAUGUUAAUUAAAUGUUUCACUUAUUCCCAACUAAUUAUUUGUCCGUAUAUUAUAAUGAUCGCGGCCACUUCUUUCUUCUUUUUGCAGCAAGCUGUGUCAGCUCACCAAAUUUCCAUGUAAGCCAUUCAACUUGAACAAAUUAAGGAUUAAUGAAAUUAAGUUAAAACAAAAACACUUUAUAUCAUCUGUUGAUUACCUUCAACUGUUAAAUUAUUAAAUUACCUCUUCUUGUUUUGAUAUUCUCUGCGCCUCAUAAGUUUAAGAAUCUUAUUUUAGCAUAAACAAACGUUGAAUAUCAACAAGAAUGUAAAACAACUCAAUACAAAUAGAAAACUUCACCCAAAAUUAAGUCAUUAACACACAUAAUGAAUUUGACUCUACCAAUAGCAGAGAUAAACCAAUCUCAUUAGCAAGUCAUAUACUAAAGCAGAAAGCGUCAACCGUGAGAUCAUAAUAAUUGGUAUCAAAGGAUGAGUUAUAAUUACAUUAUUAAUGGUUUUAUACAUAUACAUGUAUAUGUAUGUAUGUAUGUUAUAAACUUUGAUAAUAGAAGAGAAGUUUUAUUAAUUAAAAUAAGAGUGCAUCUGAUUAUAGGGAAAUAAUAAGCCAUAUCUAUAUGGCAAAGACAAACAACAACAAUAAUAAAAUAUAACAUCCUCUUUUAUUUUUUAUUUUUUUAAGAAAAAUUCAUAUCUCGUAGAGCAUAUUAUUAUUCUUUCUUUUUCCUUUUUUUUUCUUUUUAAGUUAGCAUAAUGGUGUAACCCAAUUUUCAUUGUACCUUUGUGAAAAAAGUUUGAACUUCGUACCUGCUGGCACCUAAAUUAACGAGAUCCAUCAUUUUAAAAUGAGCAAUGCUAAAGAGAUGAGAAAAAUGAGAGAAAGACGAGAGAAAAUGAAAAAAUUUUACUCUCUCUCUCUACCCAGCCCACUUUCUCUCUCUUCAUUUUCAAUACACUUUCUCUGGUCUUUUUCUUUCUUUAGCAUUUUUCUUUUAAAAUUAAUCUUAGUUGAUGGGCCCCAGCAUUUUAUUAUUUUAUUAAUAAUAAAAACCAAACUGUGGCACUGUGCUCGUACAAUCAUCAUUCAUCAAUGAGAUGGCAAAUAAAGGACCGGGCCGAUUCACUUCAAUGAGCGGGCCACAAAAUUUUGGUGAGAAAUUAAAUUCAUUGGGCCGAGCCUUGGGCUGAUGUGAAGACUGUGCUGUCCAUCGGAUUUAAAUGGCGUUCCAAUUUUCAAAGACGUCAAAGAAGAAAGAAGUCAACAACAAAGCAAAAUUGGACUUUUAUUAUGUAAUCAAUUGUCAAUUUAUCAGACGGAGGACUUGCAAAUAAAUACAAAAUGAUUAAAAAACUCUUCCAGAUUGCAACCUCUCUGACAAAUUUGGACCCGUCUUCUUUUCUAGAAGACAUUUCUUCCACGGAAAUUCUACCCCGUUUACUCUUGACGUGUCCAAGCAUACACCAAUCUUUGAAAGUUUCAACCUGAAGUGUAAACGCUUGGAACUAGUGUGCUUGAGCUUAACUUAAUCUGAAAGUUAAUAAUUUAAUAAACACAUCCCUUUAUUUGAGAGUUGAUGUUACAAUUUAUCAACUUCAAAAAAUAAAAAUAAAAAUUUGUGAUACUCCGCUAUGAAAUCCAUCAACUACUCCUCCAUUUACUGCGGAUUCAUUUAUAGAAACUAUUCCUUCGUUUACCUUGGAUUCAUUUUUAGCUACGGAUUAAAUAUUCCCCAGCAAUUGCAAAUUCAAAGUCACUGGUUAGCCCCACCAAUAGAAUUGAAUAUUCAUUCUCUCAUACUUCUCCAGGACACGAAAUAAAUAAUGGUCACAUGCGGCUCUAUCGCAGACGAGGCAACAUGAUGGAACUUUCAUGCAGCUUAUGGAAUUUACAGUAUUUAACUAAAACCAAUAAUUGAUCCAAAAGCAACCUUAUUGUUUUUCAAUAACUUGCCUUGUACGCCAUAACUUGGAACAUUCUCCAUAUAUAAAGGUUCCUGAUUAGUUCAUGGCCAUUUCUCGCUUUCUGAAAAUGAAAUCUUGUAUUACAAGAAGUAAAUUCCAAGCCAAAGAAGCUGCUAAAGAAGAAGAUGGUGUAUUGGCAACUAAUUAUAAUGUGUCCAUGGAAGAUCUUCCUUUGCCAAUUCUUGUUGAUAUUUUCUCCAGGCUCCCAAUCAAGACCAUUCUUCAAAUCAAGUGUGUUUGUAAAUCCUGGCACAGCUUAUGCUCGGAUCCUUAUUUCGCCAAAAUACAUCUUGCAAGAGCACCAUUUUCAAUAAUGAUUCUCGAGAAGUUCUGUAAGAGGAUCUACACAAAUUCCCUAGUGCCCUUGUUUACAUUGAACCAAGGUGACAAGGAGAGGCUGUCUUUGCUAUCUUCAUGCAAUGGCUUGAUUUGCUUGCAUGAGUUUUCUUACAAGCAAGAUGUCAUUUCUGUGUGGAAUCCAAUUCUUGGCGAUCACUUGGUCCUUCCACAACCUAAAAGGAAAAGUGUUGCUACAAGAAUACGUGGCUUCGGCUACAAUCAGAGUACUAAUCAAUACAAGGUGAUUCAAAUUCUCAGUUACAAAGAUCAAGCAGCGAUUUCCUCCAGUAAGCUUCAGGUUGAAGUACAUACAAUUGGUACGAAUACGUGGAGAAACAUUGGAGACCUUCCGUAUGUACUUAAUCAACCAUAUUAUGGAGUUUUUCUGAACGGUGCUCUUCAUUGGUACGCUCAUUCACAUGAUAAGAGAACGGCGUUUAUGUGUUCUUUUGACCUUGGAGAUGAGCAAUUUCGACAAUUUCCAGGUCCCCCAACUCGAGAAUAUGACAAAUGUAGGCCCAUUAACAGCAUUUCUGUGGGAGUUUCAGGAGGGUUUCUGUAUUUAUGUGAUGGUUUCUUGGAACCUAAUCUUGAUAUUUGGAUAAUGAAGAAGUAUGGGGUGAAGGAAUCUUGGACUAAGGAGUUUGUUAUAGUCAACUCAGUAGUCUCCAAGUUGCAAAGGUUAUAUGGAUCGUUGCAAAUUCUGAAUUACAGAGAGAAUAUGAACAAGGAAGCAACCGAAGGAACUGAACUGCAAAUGUUAUUUGGUUCAGAAGCUCUGCUUGCUUACAAUGUAAGAAGCAAAAGCAUCAGAAGACCAAAAGUUUUCGGCGUUCAGACAAACUACCAAGCGAUUCCUUACAUUCCUAGUCUUGUUUCAAUCAAAAAAGCUGCAAUGAACGAAAGCUCACAGAUGCUCUGAUCCUAAUCAAGGUUUUCUACUUACAAAUGUCAUUACAGGUUUAUUGUUUUUAGAACAUUAUUAAUUAAUUUAUUUAUUUAUUUGUAAGGAAUUAGCAUUCCGAAAGAAUAUUUGAACGAUGGAUCCAUAAAACCGAAAAUUUCAUCAUGCUCUCCCUCUCUUUUCACAUCAAUUUGUAUCAUCAAAAUCCCACUUUGCUUGUUUAAUCAUCGGCGUUUUUAAUUUAAGACUUGUUGCCGCAAAUCUCUGCCAAGUUGAUAUCUUAUUUUAUGGGAAACAGAGUAGGAGAAGCAGCGGCCGGCUCAUUAAUUAGCUCACAAAAUACGGACCGAUAAGCACAACGGAGCCUCUUCCUGGGAGAUUAUCCCUGACAUUCAAUCAAGGCUGCCCAUAACAUCUAUACUACAAUCAAAUAAUCAAUCUUGUUUGCUAAGCCUGGCUCUGCUUAGAACAAGACCCUCUUCUUGUUUCCACGCAUUUCUCACGUCUUUCAGGAGUUUGAUAUGAUUGUGUGAUUCACUAACAAUAAACUAUCUACAUAUAUAAUCCAUUCUCCGGGGACUACAUAGAACUGCCCAGAUCAGUACAAUUCCAGAAUCAAGAUGUGAUGUUUGGUUUUGGAUUCAAAGGAGUACCAGGUUUUCAAGGUUGUCUAUUACAGGAUACCAAGUAGAAUCCAUCGCAUUUUUUAUGACAUGAUUCCUGUAAGAUCAGAUGUUCAUGUUUCCACAGCCGGCAGCCCUGCCCGGAGAAGUUUAUGGCGAACACCUUCCGAUAUUUUUCCAGGAGCCAUCACAGGUUUUUGGUUAAUUGGAGGAAUAAAUUGGUUUACUCAGCCAGAAAAAUAGUCCAAGCCGGUGAAUUUAGUGGACUGCCUUUCUGCUGCAAUCCCUUGCAAAUAUGGGAAAUUAGAGAUUUUGGGUUAUGAAGAAUUAUGGUGAUAUGAAACUCAGAAAUGGAAGUAAUGCUUGAAAUAGAUCAAUUUGAGUGUGGUACACCUGAUUUAACAAACUUUUAGUUAACGUUCGGCAGGGAAAAAUGGAUCAAUACUGUCAAAAUUUGUCCUUGUUAAUUGGUACAUACCAAACAGAAAAGCGAAAAUACCAUUUUCCAUAGGAAUUAUCGAAGGAAUCAAUCCGAGAAAACAAGCUUCAUCGUGAGUUCAAAUGUUUUCAUAAAACUAUGAUGUGAUCAUAGUUCCAUUUUAAUUGCAUCUUGAUUCCUAAUACUCAUCCAGUAUCAGCUCAAAAAACUUCCAUAGACCUAUAAGCACAAUGGAGCAUCUUCCGGCGGAGAUUUCCUUGACAUAUUAUCAAGGCUGCCAGUAACAUCUAUACUGCAAUUCAUGCUUGUAUGCAAAGCCUAGAACAAGUUAACACACAACACUCUUCUUGUUACAAUGCAAUUUUCGCGCAUGGGCGAAAAUGACCCAUGUCUCAUCUUACACUGUGACUAUACAGUUCGAAACCAGCUUUAUUCUUUGGAGCUCCCAUCUUACAAUGAAGACAAUCAAAGGUAUAUAAAAUCAGAUUUUCUACGUUGCCAGAGUUUUCUAUAGUCGGAUCAUGUAAAGGCCAAAACAACAAAAAGUUUACACUACAUGAAUAUAAUCCCUCACCUGGACUACGUAGAGCUUCCCAAAUCCAUAGAUUUCAAUUAUCAAUAUGUGGUGUUUGGAUUUGGUUUUGAUACAAUAUCAAUUAAGUACAAGGUUGUCAAGGUUCUUUAUUAGAGGGAUCCGCGUAGACAUCACCACUAUCUUAGCAGAAUCAUUCCACCAACACCUGAGGUUCAGGUCUUCACCUUGGGCAGCCCAGCGUGGGGAAGGCUUGGACCUUACCAUUUUCUUCAGAGCCCAUCACCGGUUUUGGUCAGCGGAAUGCUUCAUUGGUGUACUUGGCCCCAAAAAUAUGGUCCAUGUCGAUUGCUCAUCUCCCUUGACCUAGCAGAUGAGCGAUUUCGAGUUGUCCCAAAACCUGAUUGUGGUGGCUUAGAGAGGUGUUAUUUUGACUUGGUGAAUUUAGGGGUUACUUGUCUGCUGUUGCACAUUGCAAAUUUAGAAUAUUUGAGAUCUGGGCUAUGAAGGAUUAUGAUGCGAAGGAGUCUUGGAUCAAGCAAUUUAGCAUUGGAAUUCACGUGCCAAGCGGAUUGGAACAAGAUUUGAGUCAAUCCUUCAGGGAUUCAAAGUUGUACAGGAAUAUCUCAUUUGUUUCAUGUCUCUUACCUUCUUAAAAAUGGAGAUAUCUUGCUGGGGUAUAAAUGCACCAAGAGAUGGAAUAUCUAAGGAUCUAUUGCUCCCCGGAAUGCCUAUUUGGUUUGAAGCUAGUGUUCACGAGGGAGCCUGAGUUGGAUUGACAGUUUUAAUUGAUAAUGGCAUAUAAAAUGUAAGCCAAUGCUUCUUUCCUUAGUGAGUUUGCUCUUUAUUAAAUAAAAAUGUUUGGUUCAAUGUUGAUACCUAGUUCCCGUUUUUCAGCAUUCAUUUCUUACUUUCAGAGUUUGAAAUUGACGAUUUACUAGAUAAUGUUUAAGCAGCUACAGAAGCAUCAAUUAAUUUGAUCAAAAUCUUUAUGGACUCUCAAUAUCACAAAGAAAUAAAUUUAGAAUUCUCUCAAAAUUAUAACAGAUUAACAAAUUUCUUGUGGCCCCGCUGCCGUAUCAACAGCUUAAGAACACAUUACCACAGUCGGGGAUUUUUUUUUAAGUGUUUGGCCAGCUGCGUUACCAGCAAUGCUCUUUUAUGAUCGAGAUAUCUUUUUGUCAUCUUCAGCAUAGAUGACAAAAAGAUAAGGAGAUUGUCCCUGGUUUAACAAGCUCUCUAUUAGACAUUCGACGUACAGCUGUUUUUUGAAUAAAUUAUACCUCUUGUAUCAAUCAUUUACAAAAGAGUCCAAUUUAAUUUGGUCCGUAUCAAACAUCAACCUUCAUGAUAAUUAUCAAAUGUAUUAAUCCAGAAAAACGAUCCUCGUCGUAGACUCCGUCUCCGUUUUAUAUUAAUUUGAUGUUAUCAUUGUUCCACUUCGUUUACUUUCCCCUUCAUUUUCAUUUUAAGACCUGUCCUCCUGAUUCUCUGGCCGGCAGGACUCAUGUAUUGCCAGAGACAUAGCAAGUGAGGAAACAACAAAUCUUAAGAAGCACUCAUAAACCAAGCAAGCACAAUGGAAUAUCUCCCGCAGGAGAUUGUCCUUGACAUAUUAUCAAGGCUGCCCGUAACGUCACUACUGCACUUCAAGCUUGUAUGCAAAGCCUGGCUCAACACUGCACAAAACCCUCUGCUUCCUAGUUUGCAAUUUUCCCGCAUGGCCAAGAAUGAUCCAUGUCUUAUCUUGCACUGUGACUACCCCAUCCGAAACCAGCUCUACUCCUUUGAGCUCUCAUCUCGUGAUGAAGAUAACCAAACGGUUCACCAAAUCCGGGUACCUGCCUUGCCUGAAUUCGAUGUGGUAGGAUCAUGCAAGGGCUUGCUGUGCUUAUGCGAUUCAUCAACAAAAAAUCGACUGUACGUGUAUAAUCCUUUUACUAGGAACUAUGUAGAGCUGCCCAAAUCAACAGAGUUCCAGAAUCAAGGUGUGGUGUUUGGAUUUGGUUUCCAUCCAACAACUAACAAGUACAAGGUUGUCAAGAUUGAUUACUGUAGGAAAACACACGGAAACCACCGCUAUUACCGCGGUUAUGGAAAAUCAGAGGUUCAGAUUCUCACUUUAGGCAGCCAAGAAUGGAGAAGUCUUGGGCAAGUAAAUUACCACAUGUUGGAGGCGCCAUCACAAGUUUUGGUCAAUGGAAGACUUCAUUGGUGUACCUGGCCACGAUACCGUGGUCCAAGUCGCUUGCUAAUCUCCUUUGACAUUGCAGAUGAACAAUUCCGGGUAGUCGAGAAACCUGAUGAGCUACACAGGAUCCACUAUGACUUGGUGAAUUUAGGUGGUUGCCUUUCUGCCGCCGUCCCUUGCAGUUCUGGGAAAGAGAUUUGGGUUAUGAAAGAGUAUGAUGUGAAGGAGUCUUGGAUCAAGGAAUACAACAUUGGAAUUCAUGUGCCAAGAGGAUUGGAACAAGAUUUGAUUCCAUCUUUCAGGGACUCAAAGUUCUUUAGGAACAGAAGCUUCGUUCGAGUCUUGUGCCUUCUGAAAAAUGGAGAAAUCUUGUUGGAGUAUAAAUGUAGAGCUUUGGUUUCUUACAACCCAAGAAAUGAAAUGUUUAAGGAUCUUUUGCUACAUGGGAUGCCAAACUUGUUCGAAGCUAGUGUUCAUGAGGGCAGCCUCAGUUGGAUCGACUCUUUCAGUGAUAAUGAUUUAUAAGCAUAUAAUCUAAGCUAAUGCUUAUAUUCUCAGUGAGUUUGCUCUUUAUGGAUUAAUAAAAAAGAGUAUGAUUCUAACGGUUUAUGGAGUUUUUGUGACGUGUCGUGUAGAUUUUCAGAACAUUGAAUUAUUUAAAUAAAUUUGGUUAAAUUUUUUUUUAUGAAACAAGAAAGCUGAUUUGAUCAAGGAAACACUAUUAAAUUUGCAAUUUAGGAACUCAAGUUGUGUUUGAUAAAUUGUAUUAUAUUAUUUUAAAUUGUAUUAAUACUGUCUGUUACAACGUUUCUUAUCAUUAUUGAUAAUUUCCAUGUUAAUAUCUUUCUUAUUUGUUGUUGUUAAAUUAAUAUUUAAAUCCAACACCUGGUUGAAGAUGCUCCCUUAAUAGACGUUUGGUACCUAUAAUUUGAAAUAAAUUAAGGGAAAAGGAAAAAAGGGAAAGUGACAUAUUUGUCACUCCCGUUAACCUUGGAGCAGUGAUAAGGUCGGUCGCCCAAACGGGCAACUGACACACGAGCCAUUUGUAUGUUGGACAUGUGUCCAUUUCUCUUUCUUUCUUUAAAUCAUAUAAAGUAACUUUUAUCUCGUUCUCAAUAAAAUAUUUAGUUAAAUUGUUUACCAACCUUUUUCAAUGAAAUUGCAUUCAAAAUGCCACGUUACUUCUUUAUUUUGUUAUUUAAUUGCCCUUAAUUUUUCCAAAAAUACCAAAUACUGGAUUCCACCUGGUUCCCACCUUCAAAAGCACAAAAGUUGCAGGGCAUUUUUAGAUGAAAAUUUUAUUUUGAAAUUAUCAUCUCAACAGCCACCAACAAGGAAUUAAUUGUUUGGAGAAGUUACAAGUCUUUUUAGUAAAUCCCUUUUACAUUUCCUUUAUAAAAUAUCUUUUUAUAAUGUAAUUUAAAUUACAUUAGGUUUUUUUUAUUAUUAGAAAAAUUAUUAUUCAUUCACUUUAAGUUUAUCAUGUUAUAAAAAAAUAUUAUAAAAAUUUGAAUUUAUUUAAUUUCCCAUCCUGAUCUACCAAAAGGACAUAAUUACUUUUAUUCAAAUGACAAAAUAAAAUUAAAUACAUAUUGUGGUAGUAAUUAUUUUAUGAGAGUAAUUAUAUCUUUUUUUGUGGAUGGUUUUAUAAAUUGUAAAUUUAUAGUGAAAAAUAAAACAGAUUCAAAAUUUUGCAGUAUUUUUUUAAUAAUGGGACAAAUUUAAGAUAGAUAACUGAUAAUUCCCUAUAAUUAUUUAAAAUAAGAAAUGCUGCUGUCAUUUUUUUCUAUACAAAUUUGGUGUCUUUUGUUUUUGUUAAUUAAUAUUGAUCAUUUAAUGUAGCAAAAAUUUUUAUAUUUAUUUUCUAUUUAUAUUAUAAACAUUGAGUUUUUUUUACAUACAAUGAAGUUAGUAAACUGAAAUUGUUUCUGUUGACUUGUUGAAGUGCAGGUGUUCAUUUGCUAUAUAUGAUUUUUCAAAAUCUUUUAUUUAGAGAGAGAGAAGCUUCUCUUUAAUGGGUAAUUAAGUUACAAAAAAAAAAAUGAAGCCGGUGCCAUUUUGAAUGUAAUUUCACUGAAACUAGUGGGUAAAUAAUAUAACUAAAUAUUUUAUUGACAACGAGGCAAAAGCUGUUUAAUGUGAUUUAAAGAAAAAAAAAGAGCAGUGGACACAUGUCCAACUUACACAGAGUUUACCAAUAGGCCUUUGGUCCAAUGGGAGAAGCCUUGCACUUACAAUGUUGAGUGCAAGGGUUCGAGCCUCCAUAAGAGCAUUAUGGAGGUUAGUUUCAGUUCUUCCUCAAUUAUCAAUUAAUUGAGUGGAGACAGUCUCUCCCUUACGAAAUGUGAGUAGAGCAGGCACCCCUCGAAUAUUAGAGAGGGUUUAAAAUAUCUGGGCAUAUACUUCAGUGUGUCAAUGUAUGAUGGUGGUCCCAGUUAUAUAGUAUGAUUGUAAAUAUUAAUUGUAAUGUCUGAUGUAAUGUCAGUAAUAUCUGUAUAUAACAGACUUAAAAAAAAAAAAAAAAAAAAAAAAAACUUAAAAAAAAAAAAAAAAAAAAAAAAAAAAAAAAAAAAAAAAAAAAAAAAAAAAAAAAAAAAAAAAAAAAAAAAAAAAAAAAAAAAAAAAAAAAAAAAAAAAAAAAAAAAAAAAAAAAAAAAAAAAAAAAAAAAAAAAAAAAAAAAAAAAAAAAAAAAAAAAAAAAAAAAAAAAAAAAAAAAAAAAAAAAAAAAAAAAAAAAAAAAAAAAAAAAAAAAAAAAAAAAAAAAAAAAAAAAAAAAAAAAAAAAAAAAAAAAAAAAAAAAAAAAAAAAAAAAAAAAAAAAAAAAAAAAAAAAAAAAAAAAAAAAAAAAAAAAAAAAAAAAACUUACACAGAGUUUGGGUGACUGACCGGUCUCAACCUUUUGCAGCAAAUAGUCAAACGUUCGUUCUUAUCAAAGACCAUCUACAUGAGCAUCAGCAUAUGGAUCGAUCCAGAAAAGCAAUCUUCCUUGCUUGUGCCGUCACCUUUUAUAUUAAUUUCCCCCAAUCAAUCAUACUCCCACUUUGUUUUCUUAUAUCUUCAUAAUUCAAUGAUUACUGAGAUCUCAUGUAUUUUCAAAAACACGGCAUUAUAGCAACCAAUAAGAGCAAAAACAUUCAUAAACCAACAAGCAUAAUGAAUUAUCUUCCACAAGAGAUUGUCCUAGACAUACUAUCAAGGCUCCCCGUGAUACCAAUACUGCAAUUCAAGCUAGUAUGCAAAGCCUGGCUCCACACAGCACAAAACCCUCUGCUUGCUAGUAUGCAUUUUGCCAACACCGGCAAAGAUGACCCAUGCCUCAUUUUAAAUUGUGAAAAUCCCAGCCGACAACAGCUUUAUUCUUCGGAGCUAUCAUCUCGCGAGGAAGAAAAUCAGAAGGUGAACAAAAUUCGUGUUCCCACUUUGACAAAAUUUUUAUUUUCGGUGUAUUAAAUUAUUUGGUAUUCGAAAAUUAUAUUGGGCCCCGACUAAUUCAAUUUCGAGCUGGUAGGACCAUUAGGGUGGUAAAAUUCUCCCAACAAAUAUUUAAUAUAGUUACAUUCCCAAGUCUCGAACUGAUAAUCUUAGUAAAGAUAAAACAACCACAUAUCAGCUAAUUUACAUGCCUGUUGGUUCACUUUGCCUGAAUUUGAUGCGCUAGGAACAUGCAAGGGCUUUCUGUGUUUAUGUGAUUCAUCUAUGAAAAAUGAACUGUGUGUAUAUGUUGGAGAAAAAUCGAUUUUUAAAAUUUUUAUAAAAACUUUUAGGACCGAUCUCAUACAAUACAUAGGAAUUCAUAAUCUAGAAAAUCAUAUAUUGACAAUCUGAUUUGGCUUUUUCGCUGAAUUAAUCUAGGCUCUCAAAUCACGAUUUGUCACCACCACUCUUGUUAUAUCGCGAUCAAUCACCACCAAUCUUGUUAGAUCACGAUAUGUCACCAAUGAUCUUCCAAGUUUUGACGCAAGUUUAAUCUGCACUUGACGUGUGGGCGCCUUUAUCACCACUAAAAGCAACUAGUAAGAGAAAAUAUUCCUCUCAAAAUUAGAGAGAGAAAAUCUAUUUCUUUGAUCUGUAUAAUGUGGCUGCUACUUCUUUUUGGGAGAAAACAAACCUUUUUUUUUUAUCUGAACCACGAGGUGGUCCUGAGUGGGCCCCAAUUAUGGGAGGGACCUUUAAACUCGUACCAAAACCUAGACUAAUCCCCGCUCGCAUCAGGUCGGCCCGUAAGGGGAGAAAACUAGCCUUUUAUAUAUUUAUUUAGUGGAAACCAUAGGCUCCAUAUUUAUUAAUUUUUAAUGCUAUUAAAUCACAUUUGAUUUAAAUUUAAAAGUUAUAAAACCAAAAGUAACGUUAUUUCUUUUUGUUAUAGAGGCCCACCUUGUAAAAUAAUAUAAGACCCCUACACACAAGUAUAUUUUAUGGAGCCUCCCACUAAAUAAUAUAUUUAGGUUUUUAACCCAAAUAGCUAGUUAUCUUACUUAUUAAUCCAGUAGCAGCGCAAUCAAUUAAAUGAGGUAACUCGUAGAUCAUAUGGGUACAUACAAUAGUGACUACAAUAAUUAGGCCUAUAAUUAAACUAGUUCAAUUAUUUAAUUCCAAAUCUACUCCACUAAAAGAUUGGAAUUGACCUCCAUAAUUGUAUGCUAUCUAGGAUAGUGUUUUCGAAUAAUAAUUCGACCCAUGUCACAUUUAUUUCUUUACUGUAUAAUCAUUUGUAUCACAUCGUUAAUUAAAUUGAUAUCUCAAUUGUCCAAUCAAUUUAAUUACAUUUUGUUUCUUGAUACUUAUUGGUUUUCUCUAAUGAUCAUUUUCAACAUACUAAAUAUGUUGAGUUUAGUAUGUUGACACACUCUGACCAGAGAAUUCUAUGAUCAAGUACCAAAAACUCAUCAAGAGAUGUGUUGUACAAAUUCUAUAGUAUUAAUCUAUAAGUCUAAUACUCAUAAUUGCUUCUACCAAAAUACCGAGUAAUCUUGACUAAAAGUGUGUGUCGUGCCCAUUAGUUACUCAAAUGGAAUAACAAUUACAAUCAUGAAAUCAUAACUAACUCAAUAUUAAGAUUACAGUAAAAUCAAUGCCUAUGAGAUUUAAUAAAUCUGAUAAUUAUUACAAAGUUAAUUAAAUCUCAUAUGUGAUCAUGUUUAAUAUAGUCGUACUACAUCAACAUACAUGAUUAAGACAAAUCAUUCAAUGAAUUUAUUACAGUCUAUACCUUGAUAAAGUGCCCAACUUUAUUUAUCAAUUGCGAACUUAAUUUAUUUAAUUAUAAGAUAACUUUUAUUUAUAUUUUCUGUGAAUCGACAUAGUGAUCACAUAAAUACAUAUAAUAUGACUAAAUUGACUUUACUUAAAAUAUUAAUGCAAUUAAGAUACUUGAAUAAAAUACCUCAUUUAUUUUAUUAAUCAGAAAAAUUGUUUAUUACUAUUAACUAAACAUAUAUACUUUUAAAGAGUAUAUUUUCCCAACAAUAUACAAUCCAUUUACUAUGGACUACUUAAAGCUGCCCAAACCCCAGAUUUAGAUUUCAAUAUUCAACAUGUGGUGUUCGGAUUUGGUCUCCAUCCAACAUCAAACGAGUACAAGGUUGUCAAGAUCGCCUAUUAUAAAAUACCCGAGGAGAAAUGAAAUUGCCACUUAUGGUUAUUGGAAAUCAGAGUUUCAAUUUCUCACAAUAAGUAGCCAAGCCUGGAGAAGUUUAGGGAGAGAACAUUACUAUUUGAUCCAGGGGCCAUCACAAGUUUUAGUCAACGGAAGACUUCAUUGCUUUCAUUGGUGUACUUGGCUACGUGGUUCAUGCCGCUUGCUUGUCUCCCCUUGACAUCGAAGAUGAACAACUCCGGGCGGUCCCGAGACUUGAAGGGAAAGGAUUAUUCAGGUGCAAUUUUGAUUUGGUGAAUCUAAGGGGUUGCUUUGAUGUAGGUGUCCCUUGCAAUAAUGGGACAUACAAUAUUUGGGUUACGAAAGAUUAUAAGGUGAAGGAGUCUUGGAUCAAGGAAUACAGCAUUGAAAUUCAAGUACCACAAUGACUCAAAAGAGAUGUGAUUGGAUCUUUCAGGGACUCAAAAGUUGUGGAAUAGCACAUUGCUUCGAGUCAUGUGCCUUCUGGAGAUACUGUUGCAGUACGGAUACAAGUCUCCGGUGUCUUAUAACCCAAGAAAUGGAACAUUUAAGGAUCUUUUGUUCCUUCGAAUACCUAAUCGGUUUGAAGAGUAUGUUCACCAAGGAACCCUUAGUCGGAUUAAAAAUCUCACCGAUACCUAAUGCUUCUUUUCUCAACUUUUAUUCUUUUUUUUUAGGGAAAUUUAUAACCGUCCACCUGUUUGUUUUGCCUUUUUUAAAAAUACACAAACACUUUUUUUUUCCAGCGCGCCACCUGAAGUUUGCUUUUUGUUGCAUUCGUCCACUUCCGUCUAAUUUCCGCUAGCGAAUUUAACGGAAUGACCUUUUUACCCCUCAAAAUUACAAUUUAACCCAAAAUAAAUAGAAAUUGGAAAUAAAUUGGAUGAAUUUAAAUUUUUUUAAAGGUGGAUGCUAGAAAUUGGAGGAAAAUAAUGUUUGUUACUAAAUUUAGAAAAUUUGUAUUUAUUUUUUUGGACGAAAAUAGUGUUUGUUGCUUGCUAGAUUUAGAAAAUUUGUAUUUAUUUUUUCUCUUUCAAAAAAAUAAAUACAAAUUUUCUAAAUUUAGUAACAAACAAAAAAAAAAAAGUGUUUGUGUAUUUUUGAAAAAGACAAAAUAAAUAAGUGGACAAGUGUAAAUUUUCAUUUUUUUUAAUAUUAUAAAGAAUCAAAUAGGCUGAGAACUAGCUGUUCAGCUUCAAUUUAUCGGCCCUCAUGACCUUCAUUUACCUUAAAUAUUUGCGACCAUUCUUGUAUGUGAUUUUGAUUUUCCUUGAAUUGCUGACAUUUGUAGAAUGAUUGAUAAAAAACAAAAAGAUGUCAUGUAUGAAAUUAGUGAAUAACUUAUACAUUUCUUUAUCAAACCAGUAAGACAUGACCAAAUUAACUCCACUAAGCCGGCAUUGGCCAAUGGCAAUUGCUCACUCCAAAAUUGAGGGCACUAGUUUGAAUCUUGUUAUUGGAUUUAGAUCCAGUUUUGAGUUUAUUUAUAUUCAACUUUUCAUAAUCUUUUACCAUAUGUGUUUAUAUUAAAAUUACAAUUAAUAAUUUAUUGUUCAUAAUUAAGAAUAUUAAUAAUUAUAAUAAAUUUACAAAUAUAAUAAAAUAAAUAUUAUUCAUUAAAUAUAUUUUUUAUUAGUUUUGUAAUUAAAAACUAUAAUUCUUUAAAUAAGGAUAAAAUUGUAAUUUGAAACUAUUUACUCCCAAUCCAAGACAAAGUAAACACAUAAAUUGGAUUCUGAUCUCUACUCCAUACUUCCAUUCCAGUGUAAGUAAACAACCUACUCCCACUCCCACUCCACACUCCCACCCCAGAAUUCCCAAUCCAAUCCAAAAAGUAAACGCUACCUUAAGGGAUUCAACAAAAGUUCUCUAUCGAGAUUAAUAUUUUCUCGAAUAUUAGUGAGAUAAGAUAAGUGUGAGAAUAUUUCUUAGCAUAUAAAUGUAUGAUUUCAAACUAUAUUAGUAUUAUAAUAAACGUAACCAUAACAAUUAAAAAAAAGUGACAAAAUUAACAAAAAUUGAAAUUAUUUAGGAAAUCUAUGCUGUUUAGUUUGGAAUUUGAACAAAAUAUCUAAAAGUUAAUUUUUCUUAAUGUGGAUUAAGUUCUCAUUAUUUUGUGCUUGACUUAAUUUGAAACCCAAAGAACAAAAUUUUCACAAAAUUUUCAAGUUAGAUUUGUCAAAUCAGUCGUUUACUAUUUGGCUAAAAGAGUUUCCUCUGGAAGUCUCUAAUUUAUUAUAUUGAAUUGUCAAUUUAUUAGGACAGAAAUAAUUUUUUUUUAAAAAAUCGAAUAAUACAAAUUAAACUGAUUUAUUAUUUCAAUUUACCAAAACGUAUUUAACAAUUUGCUUACAAUUAUGUCAAUUUUUUUUAAUUCGGAAGAGCCGCUACUGCGAGUUAUCUGCAAGCACGUGGACUAUUCGCACCAUUGAAAAUUUAGACUAGCGACUCACCCACUCUAAAAAAAUCAUUUAAAAAACGUGCAUCUGCUAGUUAGAUCGUGAUUAUAUACCGGCAGGAGAUGACAUCAUGAUGAUGGUUUUUUUUUUUUAAUCACAACAGCAAAAUACAUUAUUACUGCCGCACUUAAACAAUAAUCUCUCAUUAUAAUAAUCUAAUUCAUGUAAUAAAUACGUAAUCGUCGAUUAAAUCAUCGUGUGACAGCAAAAUGAUAAGAUAAAUCAUUAAUGAAUACGUGAUUAUUUAUUAUAAAUAUGUUAUAUUAUUAAGAUACAAAUUUAACGUUUCAACUUUAUUUAUGCAUAACAUCAUUUGAAAAUACACGGUAUUUCUUCCGUGCAAAUGCUCUUUUGUGUUAAAAAAUACAAAUAAGACACGAACAUUUAUCGUAUAUUUAUUAAUUUGUAAUUGGAAUGAGUUGGAAUCUUAAUGGGAAAUGAGAAUCAGAAUAAAUUGUUUAUCUCAAAUGUAAGAAUUAGAAUUAGUUUACUGUUGAUGUGUUUAUUUUGUUUUGAAAUUGAAAUGAAUUGUUAUAAGUUACUAAAUGAUCUUAGUUGAUUAUUGCAAUAUUUAUUAUAAUAAUAGUAAUUAUUAUUAUUAUUCAAAAUAAUUAAUAAUAAUUAUUAUUCUUAUUAUUAACAACAAUUAAAAAAUAAGAAUAAUAAGAAUAAUAAUGACAUAGUAGUAUUUUAAUUGAGGGCAAAAAUGAAAUUAUGGAAUUUAGAUAGGAUAAAAUGAGUAGUUUAAGAAAUGAGAAUUUGAUUCAUACGGGGAUGGAAAUUAAGUUCUCAUUUCUCAAUUCCAAAAAUAUAUAAGUCCCACAUAUUUUAUUCUCAUUCAUAUUACUAUUUUAACAAGUAACCAUCUUCGGUUAUUCUCAUUCUAGAUUCUGAUUCUUUUAUCUAGAAAGCAAGCGAACCAUUAGAAUGGAAUUACAUAAGCGUCGAGUUGGGUCAGUUCGGACUCUCAACCCACAAACAGUUUUAUUUUUAUUUAUAAUUUAAACUUAUAAAAUAGAUAUAUUUAUGAAACGCUGCUGAUAGUUUUAGUUUGUGAUACUUUACUCAGUGAUAUCCCUUCUUCUUUUUUUAAGACUUCGAACCCAAUAUCUUUAUUUUUCAAUCUUUUAGUUCCCAUUGGUUUAACUGUCAAUAAAUUUUUUCCCAUAUAUUUUGACAGUGUUAAAUUUUUACCUCUCUUCUUUUAUCACUUCCACGUAUUGGUAGUCAUUGACAUGAUUUAACACACCGGAGCUGUUACUGGGUUUUCCUGGUAGAUGACUGUAGGCCAGCAGCCGGCGGACGUGGAGCUAGCCUACAGUGAAAUUCCAUUUUUAACUAUCCGGAGCUUUUUUUGAAAAAACUGUUUGUGAUAUUUGAAAUUAAAGGAUUCUCAAAAAGAAAGAAAGAAAAAAAAAACAAAACAAAUCAUACGUUGCUCUCGGUGAGAUUUGUCUCGUACCCACCACUUAUUUUAAGCAAAAAAAAAAUAAAAAUAUUUUUAAUCUGGCCAACUUGCAAGGCGCUAGGUGAUGCAUCAAACGCAGAAAAUCAUCAGGAACUUUCGGGCUGAGUUUCAAUUUUCAAUUGGCAGGUAGCCAGAAGGAGGCAUCAGUCCCUCUGUCAUUUUGCUUAGUGUUUGGUUUCUUCUUCUCUUUGUAAGUAUCACCGGGCUACCAGACUUUUUUAUUUUGUUUAGCUUUUAGACUUUUUUAUAACGUCAUGGGCCCCCCUUUUGUACAGAAACUUUCAACCCCGUGAUUAUUAACGGAGUUUGGAAAAUGCUGCACUGGGUGCACUGUGGACGCAACUCAAAGAAAAGAAAAGAAAAGAAAAGGAGAGAAAAUAAUAAUAAUAAUAAUAACAAAGCUUCAACCUUUUGAAAAUUUUCAUUAUAUAUAUUUACAGCAUUAUUGAUCAAUCUUUUGUUGCUAAAAAAUACUUUCAAUGCUGCCUAGUCACUAUCAGUAGGGACAGCCAUCCAUUUAACAUGGAAUUGGAUUCAUUUCAUAAAAAUUUUGCGGUUUAUGCACUCACAUUAUGAACGGUGCUGAUUGUUAGGUCCAUCAAGAAAGAAACCAAAACUAAACAUCUUUUUUUUUUUCUUAUUUUCAAGAGAAUUAUUCAAAGGUGGAUUCUUCUUGUUCUUUUCGUCUCUCUCCUCUUUUUUUAUUUAUUAUUAUUAUAAUUUUAUUUUGAUCUCAUCAAAGUCUACAUGUUUAUCUUCAACCCCUUUUAAUUUUUCAUCACCUAACCCCUUUGCUUUUAACUCAAUUUAUUCAUUUAACGAGCUACCAAAGCUACCAGGCCCAAGCCAUGGAGUUGGAUGUUAAGCAAAAGGUGAACAAAAGAAGCAAGCUUGAAGAUGAUCAUCAACAAGCAACCGGGAUGGAAACUCUACCUCGAGAGAUCGUGCUCCAUAUAUUGCUGAGGCUCCCGAUCACAUCUUUGGUACAGUUCAAGUUUGUGUGCAGAGCUUGGAGAGCCUUGGCGCAAGACCCUCUUCUUGCUAAUCUGCAUAAUACUACAAGUACAAGCAAAGCUGAAAAGAAUCCGUGCCUCAUCCUUCACUGUGACUUUCCCAUCAGAAACCAGCUCUGCUUUAUUGAUUUUUCAGAUAACCAAGACAAGGUAAGGAAAUUUAACAUGCCUUUCCAAGCUAAGAUGCCCGAGUUUGAUGCUGUAGGUUCAUGUAACGGUUUGCUUUGCCUGUCUGAUUCAUUAUUUAAUGAUGCAAUCUGCAUAUAUAAUCCUUUUACUAGAGAUUAUAUUGAGCUGCCCAAAUCUAUGCAGUAUCCUGAUCAAGAAGUUGUAUUUGGAUUUGGAUUCCAUCCUGUUAGUAAAGAGUACAAGGUGAUUAAGAUAGUUUAUUAUAGGAAAUCUUGUAGUAAUAGUAGUUUCCAACGUACCCGUAGGGUCAUUUAUCCCAGAUCAGAUGUUCAAGUCUAUACUGUAGGAAGCCCUGCCUGGAGGAGUAAGGGGAAAUUAGCAUACCAGUUUGUCCGGAGGCCAUCGGAGGCAUUGGUGAAGGGGAGGCUUCAUUGGGUGACGAGACCUCGGAGAUAUAGUCCUGUUCGUGGAAUCGUGUCGUUUGACAUAGCAGAUGAGCAAUUCCGCGAGGUCCCUAAACCUGAUUGUGGUGGUCUGAAUAGGUGUAACUAUCAUCUGACAGUUCUAAGUGGUUGUCUUUCUGUAGCAGUUUAUGGCAAUUAUGGGAAACUGGAGAUUUGGGUUAUGAAAGAUUAUAAUGUGAAGGAAUCUUGGGCUAAGGAAUUAAACAUUGGAGCCUAUAUCCCUAAGGGACUAAAACAAAGUCUGGACAGACCUUUGAAGAUCUGGAAGAAUUCUUUGAAUGGAAGAGUUGUUCGAGUUGUAUGCAUUCUGGAGAAAGGUGAGAUCUUGUUGGAGUACAAGAGCAGAGUUCUGGUUUCUUAUGAUCCGAAGUGCAGAACAUUUAACGAGUUUGUAUUUAAGGGGACACCAAAUUGGUUUCAAACGAUUGUACAUCAGGGAAGUUUCAAUUGGAUUGAUACACCACAUGAUUUGUAAACUGCAGAAGAAAGGUAUUCACAAGCGCUGCUUCUCUUCCUGUGAGUUUAUACCCUACUGAAAUAAAAUUAUGUUACAAAAUUUCUUUUGUAUUGUCUUAUAACAAGUUAUGACUUGCUAUGAAGCCUUAUUGUUAAUGUUACACACAUGCUGUUAGUGUUUGCAAAUUUUUUUUGAAGUAUCUGGCUAUGUAAAGAGACAAAUUAAAGAUUAGUGGAAAUGAAAUAAUGCCUUACUUCUGUGUAAAAUUUCUGUAUAAACUUACUGUCCUAGUGAAGCAAUUUGUAAUCUUCAUUUCAAAAGUAUACCUUGGCAUGAGAUCACAUCCUAAUUCUAUUAUGGACUUCUUCAGGUUACUGCACUCUGAACUAGUUUCUAAACGACUCACUGUGUCCUCAUAAAUUGCUUUUUGAAGAUGAAAUGAGUUGGUCACUAACUCGAUUGAUGGAUUUCUUGAUCAGUAUUGUUUUUUGAAGAUCUCUACCAGUCGCCAAUGAUUCAUUGCCUAUGUCUAGCUGAAAUUAUGAAGUCAUGUACUACAAUUUCUAAUUCUAUUUCUAUUACUUGCUUCUAGGUGCCACUGCUGAUACCUUUUCAUCCUGAAGCUACAGGGACCUAAGAUUAUCCGCCCCCAGUUCUAGAGGUCUCUCUUGGGCUGCAAAACUGCCACCGCAAGGACUAAUAUUAUAUAAAGGCUUUGGCUAAGUUACGUUAAACGUAACUUACGCCAGAUACAGCAACAGUGCUAGUGAUGGGACUUGUCACUGUUGCUGUGCCUGGCGUAAGUUACGUUUAACGUAACUUAGCCAAAGCCUUUAUAUAAUAUUAGUCCUUGCGGUGGCAGUUUUGCAGCCCAAGAGAGACCUCUAGAACUGGGGGCGGAUAAUCUUAGGUCCCUGUAGCUUCAGGAUGAAAAGGUAUCAGCAGUGGCACCUAGAAGCAAGUAAUAGAAAUAGAAUUAGAAAUUGUAGUACAUGACUUCAUAAUUUCAGCUAGACAUAGGCAAUGAAUCAUUGGCGACUGGUAGAGAUCUUCAAAAAACAAUACUGAUCAAGAAAUCCAUCAAUCGAGUUAGUGACCAACUCAUUUCAUCUUCAAAAAGCAAUUUAUGAGGACACAGUGAGUCGUUUAGAAAAUAAAACUGAAGGCAAAGUCCAAAAGAGCCGCUCAUCAUGCUUUCCCACCAAACGAUUGUGGAAGUUUUCUUAAAAGUCAGCCACCAAAAGAGACUCUAUGCCUAGAGGCCGAUUUAUUUAAUCUUGUUCUCUUGAAAGAGUUGCAAACUGAACAAAAAAACCGUCAUUUUAAUAUUGAGCUUGCACUGUAUACGAUGAUUGCCUACUGCCACUAUGUUUCUUACUUCAAGAAAUAACGGCUCGUCAAGAACAGAUGCUUUCCCACUCUUUUAUCCCCAUUUUCCUGUUGCUAAUCUAACCCUAGUAAAGUUCUCAACUAGAGAGCUUCACACGUUGCAGAACUUUCAUCUUUAUUAAAUCGACUGAUAAAAAAGAAACAAUCGAACAUCUUUCAUUCAGCAUCUCAUCAUGACUUAUCCCAGUCCCCCUUUAUCUCUCUGCAAGCAUGAAUGUUUAACCUACCAUGCUUUUUUCCAAAGUCUAAAGACUAAAAUCUUGUGUGCAAUACCUUGCAUCUCGCUUAUGGGAUGGUAUGGUUGCGUGUGUGUGUGUAAACAAAGAGUGAAGAAUCAAAGCAAGACUUUUGAGUUUUGACUUAAAGUACUGUUUCGGUUUACAAGGCUUGUCACAAAGAAAGCAAAACACUUAAGCCAGAACACAGAUCAAGCAGGCAUCACUAUUUUCUUUUAUUUCAACGCUCAUACAAAUUUCUCCAUAGUUUUUUUGUGAGUAGACUUCAAGAGCUCUUGCUCUGCGUAUACUUAUUAUUUGGGGGUGAUUAAAUCACACAAACCGCCUACUCUUUUAAGGAUUCAAUUGUUCAUUGUGAAAGAACAAAGUUACAUGGUAUGAAUGAAGAUAUAUGAUUUUCUGGAGCACGGAAAUAGAGCAUAAUGCUCGUUAAAGAACACAACAAUACGUUGAAAAUUAACAAGCCAGGUAGCUUGGACGUGUAAGGUCAAAUUGCUUGUACAACAUACGGAUACAAAGUAUUCUUUUACUGAUUUAUGUAAAGAAUGUUGCUCAUUCAUAUAUUUGCUAAUAAAAAUAACAAAAGAGAUACUUAUGGUCACAAUGAGAACAUUGAAUAGAUGGCUUUAACUCUGGCCAGCAACACUUCUUAGGUGCUCUAACACAAGCUUUCUUCCGGUGAGACGCUCAACCAAUCCUUCCGAACAAAAUAUAGAUGAAUUAUUCACUCCCAAGCGACUCUCAAAUUUAUUGCAAAUGUUUAAAAACGGUGUGUGGAUGGAUGUGCGAAUGUAUGUACGUGUAAGUUGAGUGUAUUUGAAGGAACAUAGAGAGCCUAUUACCAUUAGUGUAGUCCCGACAAUCAUGUUGGCCGAUCCUCAAAUGAGUUUCCCAGCUCUUAUUGAAGUUGAUUGCAACAUCAACCGCGUCCAAUUUGGAAGAUCCAACGAACCAACAUUUAUUUCUUGGCAGUUUUGUCAAUUUCCUCACCAGCACGGAACCUAAAGAAGUUCCAAGGUUUAGGUGCCUAACGUGUAACGAUUAAGAGAAAAUAACCCAUAAUAUCAAUCAAUGAAACAUCGGAUGCCCAAUUCAAAAAGCCAAUCCCAGACAAACAAUACGGUUUCCGUUCCUUUAAAGUCACACACGAAAAGACAUUCUACAUAAGAUAGCUAAAGAUGAUUCAUAAUUGAGGGUUAAUAUGUUGGAACUUCUGUGUUCUUACCGGGUACUGAUCUACCAGAUAGAACUUCAAGGGCCGUAUAAAUAUUUUCAGGAUCUUUCGGUUGAAAAUCACAAACAAAGACCUGCAAAAAGCUAACAUUUACAGUGAUUAAUAAAUGGUUAAUUACUUAAUUUAACAAAACGAUCAAUUUAAAAAAUAUAUAUAAAAUAAUUAAAUUGAAGUGACCUGGGAGUGGGUAGGAGGAGAAAAGGGUUUGAUGACGACCAUGAAGUGCUGCAAAUCCCAUACAUUGAGGGUGUAGGCUGAAGACAUAAGCAACUGGGCAGGUCCUUUUGUGGCUCUUAAUGGCACUGCUGCCACGUACACUUCAUCUCUGCCUCUUGUUGCUGCUGCCGAAUUUGCAAAUACAGAAGCCAUUUGUGCUUUUCGUUCAAAACAGAACCGUUAAAAAGUAGUUAAAUACCGGAAAGGAUACUGUAGCGAUAAAAUUAUGAUCAGCGCAGCGAGUAUUCGUUUGAAUGGGCCUUAUAGCCCCUCUUGGUCCACUCAUACUAAACUGUGUAACCCAUUAAAAUUUGUUAUAAAUUAACCCAAAUAAUUUAAAUUUCUUUUUAUGAAAUUUAUUUAACUUACUACUCAUGUCAUGAAUAUUUCUUUCAUGAAGCACAAAAUGAGAAGUUCAAUCGCUCACAAUGUGCCCAUCGUAAAAUAUCUCUAACAUGUGUAAUGUAUGAAAUAAAUCGAUGAAAACAUAAAAAAAAUAUUUGUAUUCCGACCCUCCUUUGCCAAUUUUUAUUUUAUUUUAUUUUACCUUCACUAAUAAGUUGUUCGUAUUUUUUUAUGCCAAUAAUGUUAAGAUAUUGGAGGAUACUAAAUGUAAAUUAAUUCAAGAGUGAAACUAUUUGAACUCAUCAAAUUACUUAUUAAAUCUAUUUAAUCCUUACAUUCAAUACGAAAAUAGUAUUUUCACAUUUUACUCAGAUGUUUCCUAAAUUAUUCUUUAAUUUAUUAUAAAUCUCUAAUUUUCAAUUUAAACUUGCUUGUAAUGUUCUUCCACAUUAACUAGAACCGACUCCUUUUUCUCCAUCUUCCUUGCCAACCAUAAACUAUUUUCUACUGUUGACAAACUUGGCCUUUGCAGGAAAAAAAUCAAUUGAUACUUUAGUUUUUUAAUUUUGGUAGAUUCCAAAGAACUAUUUAUCAAAAAGAACUAGCCUUUAAAUUCUAAAGUUUCAAUUUGAAUGAGAGACUAAUUUUAUUUAGAUUAUAAAUAUUAAUAAAUCUCAUGUAUUUAAUAGUAAUUUAAUCAAAGUAUACCAUUGUAAUAUAAAAUUUAUUUUAUUUUAAAAAAAUAAAUUUGACCUUCGCUAUCUCUAAAAAUAGUCGUGAUUGAAUCUUAUUGCAGUAGCAUUUAAAACUUUGAUAUACAUUCUUUGUAAUACUCUUUGAUUUGAAUUCUAUUGUAGUGGCAUUUAAAGCUUUGAUUUACACUCUUUGUAUUUUGAUAUAAAAUAUGGUGUAUUGGAUCAAUAAUCAAUAAUGAAAUUCGAUGACAUAUAUAGCAAAUCCCCCACAUUUUCUCAGCAUUGUAGUAUCUAGGCCUCUUUCCCUCCCUGUUAACGUCUUCACUCUCACCCUCCACAGGCACAAGAAGUAAAUAACCAAAAGCACCUAAGCAGAGACCGUCUCUGCUUUCCGGCUAUCGUCCUUUUUAAAACCAGCGAAUGUAUAAUGAUAAAUAUCAAGUUUUAUGUGCCUAAUAGGCCGUCUUGGUUCAAUCGAACUGUGUGUAACCAUUAAAAUUUUUUAAAAGUUAACCAAGUAAUUUAAAUUGCUUUUUAUGAAAUUUAAUUCAGCACUAUUUCUCGUAUCAUGUGAAGCACAAAACUGAUGAGAGAUUCAAUCUCUGGCCAUUAUAAAGUGAAUAACAUGUGUAAUGUAUAAAGAAAUCGAUUAUAUAUAUAUAUAUAUAAGGUCCUUGUCCUUUCCACCAUUUUUUUAUUUUGUUCAAAUAAUAUUUGUUAAAAUAUUCGAGGCAUUAAAAAAAAAUUAGACUGUACCAUCAUUCUCACUCAGAUCAAAAGUGCAAUUUCACCAACAUCGGGUGAUGUAAUUUAAAUUCGAACUAAAACUCUCUCUUAAUAUGAUUUUUUUCUGAGCAAAUUUUAUGAAUUGACCAAAGGUUCAUAAAUGAAAAAAUAAAAAUAAUUAAAUUUUAAUCAUACACUAGUACAGUAGUAGUAGCACUAAUAUACAAGUUGCACAAAAUAUAUAAAAAAGUCAAAAGAAGAUUAGAUCAGGAGAGAAUCCUGAUCCUUUAAAUCCAGCUGUAUAAAACGACAUUUAACUUUUACAAUAUUAACCCUCAUCAUCUCUUAAGAUACCGCUUAUUUGAGUUCAUUUUUCAGGCAUCUUGGUUUUUGAUUAUACAUAGUUAAUCAUAUACGUAAACUAUUAGAUAAGAAUGAGAUUGUUGGAGUUGAAUCACCAGAUUGGUGGAGUUAAAUUGGAUUUCUUGUGUUAAUUUAUUAACCUAUAAGUGUGUGUGUGUGUAUAUAUAUUGGAGUCACUGCAACUUGCACUCUCGAUGGCAUAGGAGAGUGUUUGGGACAACUGCGCUAUAGCAGCGCAGCGAGUUUCCACCCUAUAUUUUAGAAAAUAUUCCCUAAGAAUAUGGUACGGAGAGCAGCUGCGCGGUGGUACCGCAGCUGGUCCAAACGCACUAACAGUCUCACUGCAUUCAUCAUAGCUUAAAGACUAACAGAAUGAAAUUCUUAAAACAGAAGGGGCAAAAACAUUAUAGAAAAUAUAUAUAAAAAAGUGUUUCCAUUAGUGCUUAUGUUCUUCACAAAUAUCGAUCAAUAAGUACGACCCAUCAUCCUUAUUGUUUUUUUGCUCGGAUAAAAAAGACAAACUAAUUAAUUAAUACUAAACUAUUUUCCAAUAUUAGCUUGAAAGACCAACCCUUGGUUAUACAGCCAUAUUUUGUUAAUUGGCAUCGAUCAUCACGAUCAUAUAACACCAUUUUGGAACAAAAUAUAUGUUAUGACACACUACAUAUAUAUAAUUUUAUUAUUAAGCAAAACAACUGAUAUAUAUUAUUAUUACUGAUUCACCAAGCCAAGUAGCCAACAACAUACUUGAGCUUCUAUUUAUAACAUACAAGCAAACAGUACAUAAUACACAAAUUUCAAGAACCCACCACUUGGCACCAACAACCCAAUUCCUCAUAGCACGUACCGAAAUUUCACCAUUAAGCUCAGACCAUGCUUUUUCUUUGAAUCAAUUCACUGAUCAUGGAUGUCAUGAUGAUCAGCUAUGUGGAGUUGCAAUUAAUGGUAGAUCCAAAAGUGGGGUCGUUUGCAGAUACCAAGACUCAAACAAAAUCCCUUAUUGUUACCGAAUACUAAAAUAUUUGAAACCACUGAACUAAAUUAACUUGGACGUGCAAAUUGGCCAUCAUUAGUUCUUACAAUAUUAUUACUCAGUCUUCUCAGCUGGGGCUUCAUCAGUGUCAGCUUUCUUCUCAGCUUCAGCUGGCUUCUCAACUGCAGGUUUCUCUUCAUCUUUCACUUCCUCCUUUGCAGCUUCAACUUCUGCCUCUGGCUUCUUCUCUUCUUCCUUGGCCUCUUUCUCAGCAGCUGGCUCUGGUGUCUCCGUUGGAGUAGUUUCCACUUCUUCAGUUUUCUCUGCGGUAGUCUUCUCCGCUGCUGCUGGCUGAUCUUCGGCUACCACCUCCUUUGUCUCAACUUCAGCUGGGGCUUCAGCUUCUGGAGUAACCACCGCUGCUUCUUCAGUUACAGCAACAGCUUCUGCUUCCUUUGCUGCUGGUGGCUCUUCAGCAACGGGUUCUGGUGCCACAGGUGCUGCAGAAGCUGAAGCAACUACCUCCUCUGUUUUAGUUUCUUCAGUCUUGACUGGUUCAUCAGCUGUUUUAGUUUCUUCAGCCUUGACUGGCUCCUCAGCUUUGAUCUCCUCGGAAAGAGCAGUCUUUGCUGACACAACCUGC